GUGGCUAUGGUGUAACGGUUAACACUGAGGUUUGUGGAGCCUCCAAUUCGGGUUCGAUUCCCGAUAGCCACCCCA
rnacentral:tRNA from 2 species